rnacentral:rRNA from 1 species
UACGGGGGGGGCAAGCGUUGUUCGGAAUUACUGGGCGUAAAGGGCGCGUAGGCGGCCUUCUAAGUCAGACGUGAAAUCCCCCGGCUUAACCUGGGAACUGCGUCUGAUACUGGGAGGCUAGAGUGCGGGAGAGGGAUGCGGAAUUCCAGGUGUAGCGGUGAAAUGCGUAGAUAUCUGGAGGAACACCGGUGGCGAAGGCGGCAUCCUGGACCGGUAUUGACGCUGAGGCGCGAAAGCCAGGGGAGCAAACGGG